CUUUCCCGGAUCAGGAAGGAUCCGUGCGUGUUCCCGGGCGCCAAAAGCUGCCGCUCCGCGUCCUUACGGCUCAGACUCUUGAAGAACCAGCUGCAUAGGGCAGAAACAAGACCUUUGGCUGUUGGUUGACUUUUUUUUUUUUUUAAAUCUGUGUAGCCCUGGCUGGCCUCGAGCUCAAAGAUCUGCCUGCCCCUGCCUCCGGAGUGGUGGCAUUAAUGGCCAAUUCUUCCUCCAUCACUGUCAACAUCCUCCACCCCCAUGACCACGCCCUGCUCUGAGAUCCCUAGACGUCUUCCCCCAUCCCCAUGCGGUCCCCUGCUCACGGUUCAGGCUCCAGGCUGUUUGCUUUCGCCACGAAGUUGAAGGGGAUGAAGCCUUCUUGGCCGGUGGUCAGAGACUGAGCCUUCCACCACUCACCGCUCCUGUGUGUGCCACAGAGACCAUGAACAUGGCCUACAUAGCCACUGGAAACACUCAGAGUCCUCGGUUAGGCCAGGCCACCACCGCUUCCUGGUCUCCAUCAUGCGAGGGCUCAUAGCUGUGCAGGGCGAUAACCAGGUUGUCUGUAAAGACAGGAAGAGUCAAGAAGAACCAGCCCGGGGCUGACAGGAACAGUGGAGAUCUAGAGGCGCAGGGCAGGAUGCCGACAAGGUGGAGGUCAUCUUCAGGGUUUGAGCUGCAGCCACAGCCCAUGAUCCCUGAAGGAACGCAGAGAGGCUUGAAGGAGCUCCCCUAAGUCGGUUCCCCCAACAUCAGACAUCCUAGAGCACUGCCCUGGAGUUUACAGAACGCCUUAGAUCAACGCCUUAGAUCGUCCGCUCUGGGGCUCCCAUGGCCAUGUACAGAAGAACUGAAAUGUGGAAUUUCAGCUCCUGACUUUCACUCUGAGCCCUCAAGCAACAAGUUAAGUUCGCGGGAGGCCCAGGCCCAAGGCUAGUUCCCACCCUCCCACCUGGGAUGGGUAAACCGCCACAGGCACUUUGUUAGUGUAGUUACCCACUUCCUGCCUCCUCAGCCCGCUGGUCCCCCCCUUUGGAGGAUUACCUGGAAGAUAUCACACACAUUUUGCCAAGCCCUGGGGGAAACCUAAAUUUUAAUUCCACUCUCCUCGCCAAGGAGGGUUCAUGUCCCUUCUAAUGACAACUCCCCUGCCUGGAUACUGAAACUGAGAGGCUCCUGUUCCUUAGAGUCAACCUUUGACCUCUGCGGCCCCCAGCACCCCACCCCCACUCACAGCACAGGCUCCUUCAGAGGGUUUCUUCUAACAUGCUUUUGCUUCUCACCAGCAGAAGGAAACCCUUCAGUGGCCCUGUUGCCUGUAACAACAUUUGCUUGCCUGUUUGUCUGAGCUGUGGAAACUUCUUGUCAAAUGAAAUCAAGCAGGACCUCACAGAUACAGCAAGUAAAGCAGAACUGUUCUCAAUCAAGUCAGAGUGGGCCUCCCUCCGGAGCCUCUGGAAUCCGCGUGGACCUCCUUCCCUGAAGCUGUUCCUCAGAACUGCUUGGAAAGCAUUGGUCCUCAAAGAAUGAUUUACCAUGGGGAGGAAAUUUAAAUGGCUUUUUUCUUUUUAAAGAUAAGGUCUUACUUAUGUAGCUGUGGCUGGCCUGGAGGCCUGGAACUCACUAUGUAGACCACUGUAGACAAGGCUGGCCUCAAGUUUGCAGAGAUCUGCCUGCCUCUGAGUGCUGGGGAUUAAUAAAGGUGUAGAAUAUCAUG